GUGAACGCUGGCGGUAUGCCUAACACAUGUGAGUUGAACGUAAAUUUAUAAUAAAUUAAAUUUAAGUAGCGAACGGGUGAGUAUAGCAUAAGUAUUAGAAGAGUAAUUUGGCAUAAAAUACCGAAUAAUGUUAAUAAUUUUAUGUUUGUUUAAUUAUUAAUGAAAAGAUUUAUCGUUAUUUGAAAAGCUUAUGUAGAAUUAGGUAGUUGGUAAGGUAAUAGCUUACCAAGCCCACGAUUCUUAGCUGGUCUGAGAGGAUGAUCAGUCACAUCGGGACUGAAAAUGGCCCGAGCUCCGUUAGGAGGCUGCAGUGGGGAAUAUUGGACAAUGAGCGCAAGCUUGAUCCAGCAAUAUCGCGUGAGUGAAUUUAAGGCUAUUUGGUUGUAAAACUCUUUCGUCGAGGAAGAUAAUGACGGUACUCGAAAAAGAAGUCCCGGCUAACCUCGU
rnacentral:rRNA from 1 species